UGGGGAAUUUUGGACAAUGGGCGAAAGCCUGAUCCAGCAAUGCCGCGUGUGUGAAGAAGGCCUUCGGGUUGUAAAGCACUUUUGUCCGGAAAGAAAUCCUUGGCUCUAAUACAGUCGGGGGAUGACGGUACCGGAAGAAUAAGCACCGGCUAACUACGUGCCAGCAGCCGCGGUAAUACGUGGGGUGCAAGCGUUAAUCGGAAUUACUGGGCGUAAAGCGUGCGCAGGCGGUUUGCUAAGACCGAUGUGAAAUCCCCGGGCUCAACCUGGGAACUGCAUUGGUGACUGGCAGGCUAGAGUAUGGCAGAGGGGGGUAGAAUUCCACGUGUAGCAGUGAAAUGCGUAGAGAUGUGGAGGAAUACCGAUGGCGAAGGCAGCCCCCUGGGCCAAUACUGACGCUCAUGCACGAAAGCGUGGGGAGCAAACAGGAUUAGAUACCCUGGUAGUCCACGCCCUAAACGAUGUCAACUAGUUGUUGGGGAUUCAUUUCCUUAGUAACGUAGCUAACGCGUGAAGUUGACCGCCUGGGGAGUACGGUCGCAAGAUUAAAACUUAAAUGAAUUGACGGGGUCAUAGCUGUUUCCU
rnacentral:rRNA from 1 species